rnacentral:lncRNA from 1 species
AAAGAAAGAAAGAAAGAAAGAAAGAAAGAAAGAAAGAAAGAAAGAAAGCAAACAAAGGAAGGAAGGAAGGAAGGAAGGAAGGAAGGAAGGAAGGAAGGAAGGAAGGAAGGAAGGAAAGAGGGCAUUGCUUCAAAUCUGUUGGAGAUAUGUAAUUUAAAAAUCUCAUUGGAUAUUUCUAAUACACUACUAAUGAUACCUUAGAAACUGGCUCAAUGAUAGAGGGAUUUCUAAGCAGUGUAAUUUCUACAUUCGAUGAACAGCUCCAUGAAUAUGCAAUAUAAAGAAUGAUUGCAGCUAACAUUGUUUCUAAUAAGGCUUAUUCCAAUCUCUGGGUUGCUUUUAAUAAUCACAUAGUCAUUCAGAAGAUUUGUUCUCCUGCUCCAUUUUGAAGGCUGUUCUGUGCUUCAUAAAAUCAGUUCAUAUAAAACCACUGAGUUGAUUUUUCAUUUUGCCUUUUCUGGAUACCUAGGGAUACAAUUGCAACUUGUCAUUUAUUCUAUAUGCAUUUUUGAAAGAUAACAUUUUUUUGUAUUUUGGGGCUGUUGUAAAUAAAAUGCUGUAAUUACAUAGCUUAUAAACAACAAACAACUGUCACAUCCCAACCUAGAGGCUGAGAAGGCCAAGUAGAGCCAGCAGAGGUGGGUUCUAGUGUGAGCACACACUUCCUGCCUCACAGAUGAUGGUCUUGCUGUGCUUUCUCCUGUCAGAUGGGCAAAGGAUGUUCUUGGAGGCCUCUUUUAUGAGCACAAUAAGCCAAACCUGAGAGUCAGAGCCCUCAAUGUGAGCCCUUCACACAGGCUCCGCCACCACACACCCCCGUCUUGUGACUAAAUCUCAACAUAAUGGACUGGGAGAGUGGAUGGCACAAGGGUUCUGACUGUCACACCUGGGUGCGUGUCAUUCAAUAAGAGCAAUGAUGACUUGUUCCACCUAGAAAGUGCUCUGAAUAGAGAGGCAUCUCAAUGCAAUUUCUUCACCAUUACUCACUCAUCUUUUUGUGAUAUCACUUUCCUUUAUUAUCCAGAAACAUAAGUGGAGGAGGGAGAGCUACAGGGCAUGGAUCCACAGAAGAGGAAGUAGGAUAUCACUGUGAUAUAUUCUUUGUUUGUUUGUUUGUUUGUUUGUUUGUUUGUUUGAACUGAGUGUCAGAGAUCCUAGCAGGGUUCUACUCUAUGGACUGGAUGCCUCUUCUGUGAGGUCUUGAAUUCAUGGAAGUGAUUAAAAUCUGAUUUGGAUAGAUUAGCAUAUCUCAGAGAUUUCUAAUUAACUGAGAUUCUCUUCCCCUUGUCUUUUUUUCUCCCUCUUUCUUUUCAUUUUCAUUUUCAUUUUUUUUCUUGCCUUGAUUUUUGUUUUUAUUAAGUCAUUUUUUUUCUUUGUUAGGCAGAAUCUCACAUCAUAACCCCAAAUGACCUGUUACUCACCAUGUGGCCCAGCUGUCUUCAAACUCACCAGCCUCCUGCCUUAGCCUUCUAAAUGCUUGGAUUACAGGCAUGACCCACCAUAACUGGCUUUGUUUUAGUUUCAGAGAAGAUGAAACUGAUGUGCGUCAAAAAGUUAUGGAGGCUGGGAAGACCUAGAAUGUGGCAUCACUAUUUGCUGAAAUUUUUAAUAUAAUGCCUCUUAGCCUGGUUUGGAGAAAACGUCACAGAGAGGCACCAUUUGUUGUGGUUUUACAUGAAAAUUUUCUGACCCUGAACCUGGUUUGAUGGAAAUCAUUUGCUGAGGUUAUUUAGAAAAUUGUUACCUCAAAAAUGACCUAGGGGUCCUUAGAAUAAUAACACACAGAAGAAUAGCCUCAUUUUUCUGUUGGGCCCAGGAAACCAUGCCGAUUACCGACCGAGCUCUCAAUGGAAAAAUGCAGUCGGCGUGAACCACGCACGAACACAGCAGAGAAAGAAGAAAACACACACCACGAGGAACCCUAAUAGGACAAUACAUUAUAAGUCACAGUGCUACGGAGAAACCCAGUAGCCACAUGGAAGCAGAGACCAUGCAUAUGCAUCUACUCCGCAGCUCUGUGAAUGUCAGCAGCUCCCACGGACUGGAGAUCCCGUGAGAUCCCGUGAGAUCUCACCCAUAGCCUCAUGGUACAUCCACUUGGUGUGCUGGGAGAGUCAGGAUGAGGACCUGAGAAGAACAGCAGCUUGAACCUGACUUCAUUUAACAGCCCACUGCCCUCUUGCCAAGAACCCAUCACAGACCUUCCCAGAAGAGAGGGAUGAGCCUCACCUAUGAAUAAGUCCUCAGAAACUCAAAUUUGAUUCUAAUGGAUUGUUUUCUCAGAAAGACUGAGCAUGUCCCCCCACAUCUCUGUCAUUUCCCACAGUAGUAACCUCUGCAGAUGCCACAUAGAAAACAAAACAAAACAAAAAAACAUGAGGUUGGUGGGCAGAUAGGCAGGGUAUAAACAAACAGCCUUGUAACCCAGAAGCUGUGUGAUAUACAGUAAACUUCACAACACUGAAAAGAUGUCCUAUCUGUUAAAAUGGGGUAAUAACAACUACCCGAAUGUUUAGGAAUAGAACUUCAAUAAAUGAUACAUUUUAUAGUACAGCAGACCAUCCUGUAAAGGUUUCAUCCUUCACUGUGGUGAUAAAUAUCCCAAACCACAUUGAAAAGCAUUGCAUCUACAUUUAUCUACACUGUAACUGUACUGUAAAUCAUGGGGGAGGGGAGAAUCAUAAAAACACCACCUGUCACCGUGUCAUUAAAGCAAGUUGGAAGUGAUACUUACAGAAACACAGCAAGAGCACCCCCAGUCACACAGUUCAAUCUCUUAGCAAGCGUUUUCUUUCUAGCCCAGUGGUUCUCAGUUUGGAAUUUUUGGCACUGCCUAGAGAUAGUUUUGUUGUUAAAACUGAGAAAAGAGCCGGGCGUGGUGGCACACGCCUUUAAUCCCAGCACUCAGGAGGCAGAGGCAGG